GACAGAGGAUGCAAGCGUUAUCCGGAUUGAUUGGGCGUAAAGAGUUCGUAGGUUACUUUCCAAGUCUUUUGUUAAAGGCUAUAGCUUAACUUUAGUUCGGCAAGAGAAACUCGAAAGUUUGAGUACGAUAGGGGCAGUGGGAAUUCCCGGUGUAGCGGUGAAAUGCGUAGAGCUCGGGAAGAACACCAGAAGCGAAGGCGCAUUGCUGGGUUGAUACUGACACUGAAGAACGAAAGCUAGGGGAGCAAAUGGG
rnacentral:rRNA from 1 species